GUACUCUCACACUUCCGAUCUUUGGAUUGGAAGCGGUGGACUUGGGUGUUGCUGCUUUGCUGUGGCUCACCUCAAAUAAAGUAGUGCAACUCUUGGUUGGACAUAGUACGGCGUGAUAAGUGUCUUCGCCGGCACCUCACUAGAGGGUGGCUGAUCAGGAGCUCUGUGCUUCAAACCGUCUUCGGACAACAUCUGACA
rnacentral:misc_RNA from 1 species